rnacentral:rRNA from 1 species
AGUGAACGCUGGCGGUAGGCCUAACACAUGCAAGUCGAACGGCAGCACAGUAAGAGCUUGCUCUUACGGGUGGCGAGUGGCGGACGGGUGAGGAAUACAUCGGAAUCUACUUUUUCGUGGGGGAUAACGUAGGGAAACUUACGCUAAUACCGCAUACGACCUACGGGUGAAAGCAGGGGAUCUUCGGACCUUGCGCGAUUGAAUGAGCCGAUGUCGGAUUAGCUAGUUGGCGGGGUAAAGGCCCACCAAGGCGACGAUCCGUAGCUGGUCUGAGAGGAUGAUCAGCCACACUGGAACUGAGACACGUUCCAGACUCCUACGGGAGGCAGCAGUGGGGAAAAUUGGACAAUGGGCGCAAGCCUGAUCCAGCCAUACCGCGUGGGUGAAGAAGGCCUUCGGGUUGUAAAGCCCUUUUGUUGGGAAAGAAAGGCAGCAGGUUAAUACCCCGCUGUUCUGACGGUACCCAAAGAAUAAGCACGGGCUAACUUCGUG